ACAACGAAGCCGAGGAAGUUCUUCCCGGAAGCGGAUUCCUGGAAGUGGCGAAUACCAUCGGGGUUUUGAAUUUUCUUAGAGGGAGAUUGGAAGUUAUAAGGAGGGGAAAUAGUAGGGACCUUUUGAGAUUGAGGGACAGGAGCGAGGAUUAUAGCUUGGGAGUUGUUGGGAGGAAGAUUGAUAGCCGGAUAACGGAUUGGGCGGUAAGAAGGAGGCGGAGACAUUUCUGGCCAUGAAGAUUGAGGCGGGGGAGGG
rnacentral:misc_RNA from 1 species